rnacentral:rRNA from 1 species
GACGAACGCUGGCGGCGUGCCUAAUACAUGCAAGUAGAACGCUGAAGAGAGGAGCUUGCUCUUCUUGGAUGAGUUGCGAACGGGUGAGUAACGCGUAGGUAACCUGCCUUGUAGCGGGGGAUAACUAUUGGAAACGAUAGCUAAUACCGCAUAACAAUGGUUGACCCAUGUCAUUUAUUUGAAAGGGGCAAAUGCUCCACUACAAGAUGGACCUGCGUUGUAUUAGCUAGUAGGUGAGGUAACGGCUCACCUAGGCGACGAUACAUAGCCGACCUGAGAGGGUGAUCGGCCACACUGGGACUGAGACACGGCCCAGACUCCUACGGGAGGCAGCAGUAGGGAAUCUUCGGCAAUGGGGGCAAGCCUGACCGAGCAACGCCGCGUGAGUGAAGAAGGUUUUCGGAUCGUAAAGCUCUGUUGUAAGUCAAGAACGAGUGUGAGAGUGGAAAGUUCACAAUGUGACGGUAGCUUACCAGAAAGGGACGGCUAACUACGUG